GACGAACGCUGGCGGCGUGCUUAACACAUGCAAGUCGAACGGAAAGGCCCUGCUUGCAGGGUACUCGAGUGGCGAACGGGUGAGUAACACGUGGGUGAUCUGCCCUGCACUUCGGGAUAAGCCUGGGAAACUGGGUCUAAUACCGGAUAUGACCUUCCAUGUAGUGUGGGGGGUGGAAAGAUUUAUCGGUGUGGGAUGAGCCCGCGGCCUAUCAGCUUGUUGGUGGGGUAAUGGCCUACCAAGGCGUCGACGGGUAGCCGGCCUGAGAGGGUGGACGGCCACAUUGGGACUGAGAUACGGCCCAGACUCCUACGGGAGGCAGCAGUGGGGAAUAUUGCACAAUGGGCGGAAGCCUUAUGCAGCGACGCCGCGUGGGGGAUGACGGCCUUCGGGUUGUAAACCUCUUUCGACAGGGACGAAGCUUCGGUGACGGGACCUGUAUAAGAAGCACCGGCUAACUACGU
rnacentral:rRNA from 1 species